rnacentral:rRNA from 1 species
GACGAACGCUGGCGGCGUGCUUAACACAUGCAAGUCGAACGGAAAGGCCCCUUUGGGGGUACUCGAGUGGCGAACGGGUGAGUAACACGUGAGUAACCUGCCCUUGACUUCGGGAUAACUUCAGGAAACUGGGGCUAAUACCGGAUAGGAAUCCUUGCUGCAUGGUGGGGGUUGGAAAGCUUCGGCGGUUUUGGAUGGACUCGCGGCUUAUCAGCUUGUUGGUGGGGUAGUGGCUUACCAAGGCUUUGACGGGUAGCCGGCCUGAGAGGGCGACCGGCCACAUUGGGACUGAGAUACGGCCCAGACUCCUACGGGAGGCAGCAGUGGGGAAUAUUGCACAAUGGGCGGAAGCCUGAUGCAGCAACGCCGCGUGCGGGAUGACGGCCUUCGGGUUGUAAACCGCUUUCAGCAGGGGCGAAGCUUGUGGUGACGGUACCUGCAGAAGAAGCACCGGCUAACAACGUG